CUGCUCUCAAAUCUCUACACCUCUAUCUUGUUGGCUAUGCAGAAUAUUCCAGCGAGAUAUAUCGUCAUGGGAACAGAGUACACCAAGGUACUGUAGACAUUAAGAUUCAGGAACUCAACUAUAAAGGAAUCGCCUGCUGGUAUAGGACAGAGGUCCGUCUACACUGCAUGUCCACAGAAUCAUCUGAGCUAUGUUGGAGAUGUAGCACAGUCAUGGACCUGGUGGGGCAGUGACAAUGGAAAUACAGCAGCCAAUCAGUUACAGAUCUACAGUACAAGCACAUCCAUUAAUUACAG